GACGAACGCUGGCGGCGUGCUUAACACAUGCAAGUCGAACGGAAAGGCCCUGCUUUUGUGGGGUGCUCGAGUGGCGAACGGGUGAGUAACACGUGAGUAACCUGCCCUUGACUUUGGGAUAACUUCAGGAAACUGGGGCUAAUACCGGAUAGGAGCUCCUGCUGCAUGGUGGGGGUUGGAAAGUUUCGGCGGUUGGGGAUGGACUCGCGGCUUAUCAGCUUGUUGGUGGGGUAGUGGCUUACCAAGGCUUUGACGGGUAGCCGGCCUGAGAGGGUGACCGGCGACAAUGGGACUGAGAUACGGCCCAGACGCCUACGGGAGGCAGCAGGGGGGAAUAUUGCACAGUGAGCGGAAGCGUGAUGCAGCAACGCCGCGUGCGGGAUGACGGCCUGCGGGUUGUAAACCGCUUUCGCCUGUGACGAAGCGUGAGUGACGGUAAUGGGUAAAGAAGCACCGGCUAACUACGUG
rnacentral:rRNA from 1 species